GCAAGUCGAACGAGGCCCUCUUCCUUCGGGAGGAGGUGUCCUAGUGGCGAACGGGUGAGUAACACGUUGGUGACCUACCCCGAAGAGGGGGACAACCCCGGGAAACUGGGGCUAAUACCCUAUGUGAUCCUAAGGAUUAGAUGCCUAAGAAUGAAAUGGAUGCUUGCAUUCGCUUCGGGAGGGGCCUGCGGCCUAUCAGCUAGUUGGUGAGGUAAUGGCUCACCAAGGCGACGACGGGUAGGGGGCCUGAGAGGGUGGUCCCCCACACUGGAACUGAAACACGGACCAGACACCUACGGGUGGCAGCAGUAGGGAAUAUUGCACAAUGGGCGCAAGCCUGAUGCAGCAACGCCGCGUGCGCGAUGAAGGCCUUAGGGUUGUAAAGCGCUUUUCUGGGGGAAGAGAAAGGACGGUACCCCAGGAAUAAGUCUCGGCUAACUACGUGCCAGCAGCCGCGGUAAAACGUAGGAGGCGAGCGUUAUCCGGAUUUACUGGGCGUAAAGCGCGUGCAGGCGGUUUGGUAAGUCGGACGUGAAAGCUCCCGGCUCAACUGGGAGAGGCCGUUCGAAACUGCCAGACUAGAGGGCAGCAGAGGGAGGUGGAAUUCCGGGUGUAG
rnacentral:rRNA from 1 species